rnacentral:tRNA from 1 species
AGGCGCGUGGCUUAGUGGUUAGAGUGUUCGGCUCGCAAGCGUAAGGUCGUGAGUUCGAAUCCUGGCUGCGCGUU